rnacentral:rRNA from 1 species
UACAGAGGGUGCAAGCGUGAAUCGGAAUUACUGGGCGUAAAGCGCAUGUAGGUGGGUGUACAAGUUUGAUGUGAAAGCCCUGGGCUUAACCUGGGAAUGGCGUUGAAGACUGUAUAUCUAGAGUUUGGCAGAGGGUCGUGGAAUUUCCGGUGUAGCGGUGAAAUGCGUAGAGAUCGGAAAGAACACCAGUGGCGAAGGCGGCGGCCUGGGCCAAAACUGACACUGAGGUGCGAAAGCGUGGGGAGCAAACAGG